AGCAGAGAUUAAAGACAUAGAAAAAGAAAUAGAAGAGUGUAAAAAGCUCACAGUCCUGGCAGAGCAAGAGGUUGUUGCAGAGGACG